rnacentral:lncRNA from 10 species
AGGAAAAGCCCAGGGGCUGCUCUCCCUUACAGCAGGUGCUUCUCUGUUGAUGUUCCUCCCCCACCUGUUUCCAAGUAGCCCGAGACAUGUCUUUCUCGCACCUUCUUCUUCCCCUGCUGCAAGCCCACUCCCGUUCAGACAGCGUGAACCUGAGUCUUUUUCCUGGCAGGCCACCUGGGCCACGAAGGCCCACACAUCGAGGCACCUGCUGCUUCUUAGUGCUGGCCUUUGCUCACCUAAGACUCAGGUGUGGCCAUAGGAGAAAGAGGUUCUUUGGCGCAAGGCUAUGGGGCCUGACAAGCUGAGGAGAAAGGUGGCCACAGCAUUGCUUCCUAGGUUGGCGCAGGGGGUCAAAGCCCCAGCUGGCAACAAGGAGGAAAGAGCCAGGCUUAAUCUUGGUCUCUCCUGUCUCUGUGGAAGCCUGAAUUCCCCUCGGUUUAUGAGGUAAAGAAUAGCUGGUCUCCUUCACAUGCUUUCCCGACCCUAUCCUGGAUAAACUGAGGCAGGAAGGCAUCUGCUUUCUACUCCAGUGAUGUUGCGGCCGGGAUGCCUUCUGGGGAACUCGAAUGCUGCAGGCAGAGGGGCUAGUUUCUGAAUUGCUUGUGACAUGUUUGGCUACCAGUGACCAAAGUCCUCUAUGGCUGGCAUUCUUUAGUUUAAAGAAUCGAGGGUGUCUCUUAAACCAGGGAUGAGGGCCUUGGAAACCUUCCAAAAAUUUUUAUACAACGCGGGUACAUACAACUUUUUACAAAUAUGAAAUCAUACUGUACAUCCUUUCUUUUGUGACCUAUUUUCAUUCAAUAACAUUUUACAGUUUUCAUGUUAAUAAACCUAGCUGUACAUUACUGGUACAUACUAGUUACUGGUACAUUGACAUUUAUGACCAGUUGUGUUUCCAUGGUAAGGUUGUGUCAGAGCUGGAUGCAUGUGCCCUGUUGUUGGAUAUUUAUCUUAUUUGUCAUUUUUGCGUUGAAACAACGCUAUGAAUGAAUAGUGUUGUAAAUGCGUCUGGACUGAUCGUCUCUACUGGAUAAGUUAUUUACAGUGGCAUUGCUGGACUAAAGGGUAGACAUUUUUUUAAAAAGUUUUCUGAUGCAUAACACUGUCAAAAGACAAAAUUAGGCCAGGUGCAGAGGCUCAUGCCUGUAAUCCCAGCCCUUUGUGAGGCCAAGGCGAGCAGAGUGCUUGAGGCCAGGAGUUUGAGACAAGCUUGGACAACAUGGUGAAAACCCAUCUCCACUAAAAAUUAGCCAGUCAUCGUGGUGUGAGCCUGUAAUCGUAGCUACUCAGGAGGCUGAAGCACAAGAAUCACUUGAACC